AGCAGUGUAAAAAAAUGUCUAAAAUAAAAUGUAUUGUUUUUGUGUCCUGCAUUCUAUUCUAGCUUCUCAAAUUUAAAUUUUUUACUUUUACACAUUUAUGGAGAGGGAAUAUUUAAUUAUUAACAAACUUUGGUUUUAAAAUGAUCCUUUAGAAGCCCUGUAUACUGUGAACCUGGAAAGGGUAUCAGCAGCCGGAACCUGGGAGCUCCGGGUACACGGAGAACCCUUGAGUAGGACGGAGAAACCUUCAACCGUGUCCUGUAUCCUCUCCGAUAUACUAGAACUCAGCAGUAGAUCAAGAUCCCCAUCCCCUGAUCCUAGAUCUCCAAAGUAUUCAGCUCCAAGUGGGAAGCAGAACACGACUCCACAUAAGAACAAACGCUUAUCCCUGGGAACCUUUCAAGAUACUCUGGGUAGUAUUGGAGCACUGGGAUCCCUGGGUCAGGAUAAGAAAGGGAUUUCUCAGGUUCCUAUUCUUCAGCUAGCAGACAUGAAGCCUAAACUCAUAGGUCGGGCCGACUUCAGAUUUCGAGGAUCAAUUUCUUUAAACUCUCCUGUGACCCUGAGCAAAGAAGAUUACGGUUCCAUCCUAACCUCAAUUAUAAUAAAAGAGUCCAACCUUGACUGGGACGGAAAUAUAAGCAACAGUUCCAGGUAAAUAUUAAAGA